rfam:Marine bacterium AO1-C Bin2_contig__2_len_1495235_cov_100.329_ID_3, whole genome shotgun sequence.
GAGGCUGUGGACAAGUGGUUUAAGUCGUCUGUCUUUCACGCAGAAGAUCGCGGGUUCGAAUCCCGUCAGCCCCA